rfam:Pseudoalteromonas haloplanktis str. TAC125 chromosome I, complete sequence.
CGUAUGGUGCCAGACUCCGGGUUUGGAGAGCGAUGCGGCCUUAACUAGAGGU